GGCGGGGCGGGGCGUUGGAGGGAGGAGAAAGGAAAUAGAAGUGCCAAGUCCAUUUGCUGACCUGGCCUAGUUAGAGCUGAGAGUCGGAGAGGAGAAAGCACGGCUUCCUCCAAAAGGGGUGAACUCUGAUACCUUGAGAAGAUGACAGACGUGAAAAACGGGAUAAUCUUCUUCAUGGCAAAAGGUUCUAUGUCUGUGGGUUUGAUGGCCAUAGGGCCUGCGGUGUGGCCUGCUGCGCUAGUAGUGCUCGCUGGGAUAGCCCUUUACACCUGGAAGAGGAACACUGAAAGACCGUGCCCUCAGAAGUCCUAGGUUGACCGCAGGUAAAAAUGAAUAAGAACCCUAAAAUGUAUUGAAAGGAAUUCUCUCCCAGCUCCCUGCAGACUGGAGAGUCCACCUUCCUGGGGUCAGGAAUUCUUUGAAGCAACAUUUUAUCUUUGGGGUUUGAGCAAAAUCAACUUGUGGGUAAAAAAAUAAAUUCAUCGAAUGUG